GAAAAAAAAAACCUAACAUUAUCAUUAUCAGAAGUGUCAGUGCAGUGCAGUCUUUAUCAGUUAUUAGACAUAAACUAGGGGAGUCGUGCCUUUUCUAAAUUCGUAACAUAUUAAUUUAAAUAUUUUGUCCGCGAUUGUAAUAUUUUAGAUAUGGCAGAUAAACAGCCAAAGAACAAAGUUUGCAUCGUUGGAUCGGGAAACUGGGGUUCUGCUAUUGCGAAAAUUGUUGGUCGAAAUGCUGCGAGUCUAUCAAAUUUUGAGGAUAGAGUUACAAUGUGGGUGUAUGAAGAAAUAAUUGAAGGAAAGAAGUUAACUGAAAUAAUCAAUGAAACUCAUGAAAAUGUUAAAUACCUGCCUGGCCACAAAUUGCCUUCUAAUGUUGUUGCUGUUCCAGAUGUAGUUGAAGCUGCAAAAGAUGCUGAUCUUUUAAUAUUUGUGGUGCCUCAUCAAUUUGUCAGAACUAUCUGCUCUACUUUGCUUGGAAAAAUAAAGCCAACUGCAGCUGCUCUGUCUUUGAUUAAGGGAUUUGAUAUAGCCGAAGGUGGUGGCAUCGAUCUUAUAUCACAUAUUAUUACAAGAUGCCUAAAAAUUCCCUGUGCUGUAUUAAUGGGAGCCAAUAUUGCAUCGGAGGUUGCUGAGGAAAAAUUCUGCGAAACGACCAUUGGUUGUCGGGACGUAAUGCUGGCUCCGUUAAUGCGGGAUAUCAUACAGACAGACUACUUCAGGGUCGUGGUGGUGGACGAUGAGGACGCAGUCGAAAUAUGUGGAGCGUUAAAGAACAUUGUGGCAGUGGGUGCGGGUUUCGUGGAUGGCCUCGGCUACGGUGAUAACACAAAGGCUGCUGUCAUCAGACUCGGUCUCAUGGAGAUGAUCAAAUUCGUUGAUGUGUUCUACCCGGGAAGUAAGCUGAGCACGUUCUUCGAGUCAUGCGGUGUCGCAGAUUUAAUAACGACCUGCUACGGGGGCAGAAACAGACGAGUUGCCGAAGCGUUUGUUAAAACGGGACGGUCAAUAAAAGAGCUGGAAGACGAAAUGCUUAACGGUCAGAAACUACAAGGUCCUAUCACCGCGGAGGAAGUAAACCAUAUGCUCGCUAAUAAAAAUAUGGAAAACAAGUGAGUAUUUCAAUAAGUUAUAUAAUAUGAAACGGUAACUAGUUGAAUAGAAAAUGAAUCGAUAAAUGUAUAAUUGAGUCAGAAUAUUUUGUGGCUUGGAGAAGUGGAAAAAUAUGGUAUUGCCGAAUUAAGUAAAUUUAUUAAACUAUUGUAAAUUAAUAACAACAACACACAAGUCGAAAAUAUAAUACCUAUUGAGUUUUUUUUAGAUAUAAUGAUCAAGAUUAAAUCGCAAUGGGAAUUAAAACUUUUUUAUUUAACUUUCAAAUUUCGUUUCUAAGUUUACGUUUUCAAUCACAAAUGUAUAAAACAAUCGUUUUUGUGUAUAUAAAUCUUUAAAAAAUAUCCUUAUCGAUUUUGUUCCCAUCUGAUGACUAUUUAACUUUUGUGUUUUGCAAGCUCUUUAUAGUAGCGCAAUCUUAUUGAAAUGGUACAAAUGACCGACAGCUAAUAUUCAUGGUCAUCGAAAAUAACUCGCUCGCACUCUCUUAUAUAAUCGAUACGUACGCAUCGCGUUGAACAUUACACGCGACUGUAAAGUGGCUUAACGUUAAAUCGAAAUGUUUUCUGCAAAAUUUCUUAUUUUAUAAUAAGUAUUUUUGUGUAUCGUAAAAUUAUCCCCAGUGUGAACGUUUAGUGGAUAUUUAUUUAAAAAUAUUUUUCGACUGUUCAACAUUGUAUUGUUAUAGUUCAGUUAAAAUAGUAUCUCUUGGCGGGUAUCCACGUCCCGGCUGAAGCCAACGACGACUUUAAUUGAAGCAUUUCGUUGCGUUACCGCGUUUUGCUGUUUUAUCACGAUACAAUACGCGAUAGCCUUGUGAUGUAAUUAUAAUUAAAUAAUACGAUAUCUUAUGUUUAAUUGUUUUUCUGGUUCACAAAAAUACGAGAGUAUUCUGGCUUGCUUCAUUGACUAGAAUGUUGUAUAAAUAAUGCAACGCAAGAAUUAAGAUAAAGAAAUAUAAUUAUCUGUAAAUAUUUUUAGGAUUUGCAUAUUAUUAUUCGGACUGAUAGAGGAGGAGAAGAUUAUUAUUCACUUAUAUAAUAAUAACAACGGUUUUAAUCGACAUACUCUUGUAAUCGCUUAGGUCGCGACUAAUUGAUUGAUGUUGUGUUGUUUAAAAGUUGAUUGUCCUUAUUUAUAAACUCUUGCUAAAUUUUAAUUAAUUAUCUAUCAAAAAAAUAGCAUAUUUUUCACUCGCAAAUAAAAUUUAUCGAUUCAUAAAUAACACUAAACGAUUUACAGGUUACAGGCAUACCGCAAUACCGCAUAGAACUAGUUUAAGCAUAGUUUAAAUGUUUAUCGAAAUCGCGAGGUUGAUUCUUUUAUAUGGACACGGAAGUUGUUUUAGCUUGUUCACUAGAUAAGACGGCCUGUGUACUUAUAUCGAUCGAUGCGACCAUUCCAGGCUUCAAGUAAUAGUGGCCAGUAACAUUUUUUUCUAGGGUACCUAAUACUAAACACGGAGUCACGAAAAUCUUUAAUGUAAAAAGAAAAGCAUUAUUAAGGAUAAUUAAAAAUAACUCAAACUUGUGUUAUUUUACGUAAUUAUAAUUUGUGUAAUUCCUGCUGUAAUGCUUUAUUGCAAAGGAAAAGUUCUUACAGUCACGACACGAGUUAAAAUAUGUAAUUGUCUGCGAUUUCAGGUUCCCUUUGUUCACUGCGGUGUUCCGCAUCUGUCGCGGAGAACUCAAACCGAACGACUUUAUUGAUUGCAUUCGCAGUCACCCGGAACACAUGUAAGACACAAAUCACCUUGCCUCCGCUUCCUUUUCUGCCUAGCUUCUAGUCUAAACUAUAAUAUUAGAGGCUGUUUAAUUACAUUCCUAUAACUUAUUAUGUAAAUAACAUAUUGUCUAUGUAUGUUUAUUUUACAGGGUGCUAGUACUUAGAUGUAAAACAUUGUUUGUAUUAAAAUGUAAUGUGUAACUAAUUAAAUGAUUGCGACGUUGAUACCUUGCCGAUCCAUCGUGUGUGACCGUUAUAUCGGCUAUGUACUAUAUACACUGACGCUUUCAUUUAUUAACUAUAAUUGUUUGGCAUAAAUAUGUUGAUUAUAAAGAGAAUUUAUUUAGUUAGAACAUUAUCGAGAAUUGUAUAUAUGUACUUAUCGAGAUAUGAAUACUAAAAUUGUUUGAAAGACAUAUUUUAUGCCGGUAGUGAUUGUCGUUUCCCGUUGCUAUAACACAUUGCCGGUAUUAAAUAAAUAUUAGUGUUGUGUUAUAUUUAUUAUCUGUCCGCUAAGCUAACAAAUUUCAUAAUUUUGGAUACCGUUAUCGGCUUUAGGCUCGUAGUUCCAGAUUAAUGAACAUAUUCGAGUGGUAGCUUGUUGAGAUAAAGUAUAUCGAUGUUGAUGUAAAGUCUGGUGCGGGUAUUAUCUAUGUAUAUAAAUCUAUAUAGUAAAAUAAUAUAAUAGUACUCUCCUUUUCCUGUUCUUCAAAUUUUAUUUUGAUUUAUUUUUAUAAAUGUCUUUAAGUAAAAAUUAAUAUGCACAUAAUAUUGUUUUGCACCUUAAACUAGUACAAUAAACGAAUACUUAUGAAAGUAUAUAGUUUCUAACAGAAAAAAAUUAUUAAAACAAAUAAAUAUAUUUUA